UACGGAGGGUGCAAGCGUUAUCCGGAUUCACUGGGUUUAAAGGGAGCGUAGGUGGGUUGGUAAGUCAGUGGUGAAAUCCCCGAGCUUAACUUGGGAACUGCCAUUGAUACUAUCAGUCUUGAAUACUGUGGAGGUUAGCGGAAUAUGUCAUGUAGCGGUGAAAUGCUUAGAUAUGACAUAGAACACCAAUUGCGAAGGCAGCUUACUACCCGAAUAUUGACACUGAGGCACGAAAGCGUGGGGAUCAAACAGG
rnacentral:rRNA from 1 species